rnacentral:rRNA from 1 species
GACGAACGCUGGCGGCGUGCUUAACACAUGCAAGUCGAACGGAAAGGCCCUGCUUUUGUGGGGUGCUCGAGUGGCGAACGGGUGAGUAACACGUGAGUAACCUGCCCUUGACUUUGGGAUAACUUCAGGAAACUGGGGCUAAUACCGGAUAGGAGCUCCUGCUGCAUGGUGGGGGUUGGAAAGUUUCGGCGGUUGGGGAUGGACUCGCGGCUUAUCAGCUUGUUGGUGGGGUAGUGGCUUACCAAGGCUUUGACGGGUAGCCGGCCUGAGAGGGUGACCGGCCACAUUGGGACUGAGAUACGGCGCAGACGCCUACGGGAGGCAGCAGUGGGGAAUAUGGCACAAUGGGCGGAAGCCUGAUGCAGCAACGCCGCGUGCGGGAUGACGGCCUUCGGGUUGUAAACCGCUUUCGCCUGUGACGAAGCGUGAGUGACGGUAAUGGGUAAAGAAGCACCGGCUAACUACGUG